rnacentral:rRNA from 1 species
GUGGGGAAUCUUGCGCAAUGGGCGAAAGCCUGACGCAGCCAUGCCGCGUGAAUGAUGAAGGUCUUAGGAUUGUAAAAUUCUUUCACCGGGGACGAUAAUGACGGUACCCGGAGAAGAAGCCCCGGCUAACUUCGUGCCAGCAGCCGCGGUAAUACGAAGGGGGCUAGCGUUGCUCGGAAUUACUGGGCGUAAAGGGCGCGUAGGCGGACAGUUUAGUCAGAGGUGAAAGCCCAGGGCUCAACCUUGGAAUUGCCUUUGAUACUGGCUGACUUGAGUACGUGAGAGGUGAGGGGAACUCCGAGUGUAGAGGUGAAAUUCGUAGAUAUUCGGAAGAACACCAGUGGCGAAGGCGACUCACUGGCCCGUUACUGACGCUGAGGCGCGAAAGCGUGGGGAGCAAACAGGAUUAGAAACCCGAGUAGUCC